rfam:Ictidomys tridecemlineatus contig114962, whole genome shotgun sequence.
GGUGUUGUGGCUCAGUGGUAGAGCGCUCGCCUAGCAGGCACGAGGCCCUGGGUUCGAUCCUCAGCACCACAU